UAUGUCUGGGAACUGCCUGAUGGAGGGGGGUAACUACUGGAAACGGUAGCUAAUACCGCAUAACGUCGCAAGACCAAAGAGGGGGACCUUCGGGCCUCUUGCCAUCGGAUGUGCCCAGAUGGGAUUAGCUAGUAGGUGGGGUAACGGCUCACCUAGGCGACGAUCCCUAGCUGGUCUGAGAGGAUGACCAGCCACACUGGAACUGAGACACGGUCCAGACUCCUACGGGAGGCAGCAGUGGGGAAUAUUGCACAAUGGGCGCAAGCCUGAUGCAGCCAUGCCGCGUGUAUGAAGAAGGCCUUCGGGUUGUAAAGUACUUUCAGCGGGGAGGAAGGGAGUAAAGUUAAUACCUUUGCUCAUUGACGUUACCCGCAGAAGAAGCACCGGCUAACUCCGUGCCAGCAGCCGCGGUAAUACGGAGGGUGCAAGCGUUAAUCGGAAUUACUGGGCGUAAAGCGCACGCAGGCGGUUUGUUAAGUCAGAUGUGAA
rnacentral:rRNA from 1 species